AGCGAACGCUGGCGGCAGGCUUAACACAUGCAAGUCGAGCGGGCAUCCUUGUGGUGUCAGCGGCAGACGGGUGAGUAACGCGUGGGAACGUGCCCUUCGGUUCGGAAUAACUCAGGGAAGCUUGAGCUAAUACCGGAUACGCCCUUUUGGGGAAAGGUUUACUGCCGAAGGAUCGGCCCGCGUCUGAUUAGCUAGUUGGUGAGGUUACGGCUCACCAAGGCGACGAUCAGUAGCUGGUCUGAGAGGAUGAUCAGCCACACUGGGACUGAGACACGGCCCAGACUCCUACGGGAGGCAGCAGUGGGGAAUAUUGGACAAUGGGGGCAACCCUGAUCCAGCCAUGCCGCGUGAGUGAUAACAGCCUUAGGGUUGUAAAGCUCUUUUCUCCGGGACGAUAAUGACGGUACCGGAGGAAUAAGCCCCGGCUAACUUCGU
rnacentral:rRNA from 1 species